GACGAACGCUGGCGGCGUGCCUAAUACAUGCAAGUCGAGCGGAUCUUUAGGAGCUUGCUCCUGAAGGUUAGCGGCGGACGGGUGAGUAACACGUGGGCAACCUGCCUGUAAGACUGGAAUAACUUCGGGAAACCGGAGCUAAUACCGGAUAAUCCUUUUCCUCUCAUGAGGAAAAGCUGAAAGUCGGUUUACGCUGACACUUACAGAUGGGCCCGCGGCGCAUUAGCUAGUUGGUGAGGUAACGGCCACCAAGGCGACGAUGCGUAGCCGACCUGAGAGGGUGAUCGGCCACACUGGGACUGAGACACGGCCCAGACUCCUACGGGAGGCAGCAGUAGGGAAUCUUCCGCAAUGGACGAAAGUCUGACGGAGCAACGCCGCGUGAGCGAUGAAGGCCUUCGGGUCGUAAAGCUCUGUUGUUAGGGAAGAACAAGUACCGGAGUAACUGCCGGUACCUUGGCGGUACCUAACCAGAAAGCCACGGCUAACUACGUGCCAGCCGCCGCGGUAACAC
rnacentral:rRNA from 1 species